AUGAACGCUAGCGGCAGGCUUAACACAUGCAAGUCGAGGGGUAUAUGUCUUCGGACAUAGAGACCGGCGCACGGGUGCGUAACGCGUAUGCAACCUACCUUCCACAGGGGAAUAGCCCAGAGAAAUUUGGAUUAAUGCCCCAUGGCAUCUUGAAGUGGCAUCACUUUAUUAUUAAAGAUUUAUCGGUGGAAGAUGGGCAUGCGUCCCAUUAGUUAGUUGGUAAGGUAACGGCUUACCAAGACGAUGAUGGGUAGGGGUCCUGAGAGGGAGAUCCCCCACACUGGUACUGAGACACGGACCAGACUCCUACGGGAGGCAGCAGUGAGGAAUAUUGGUCAAUGGGCGCAAGCCUGAACCAGCCAUGCCGCGUGCAGGAUUAAGGCCCUAUGGGUUGUAAACUGCUUUUGUACGGGAAGAAACAGAGGUUCGUGAACCUCCUUGACGGUACCGUAAGAAUAAGGAUCGGCUAACUCCGU
rnacentral:rRNA from 1 species